AUCCUACCCUAGCGCCGCCACCUUCUUCCUCGGGAUCCCUCUCGAUCCCCUUGAUUCACCCAGCCAGCGCCGCCUCCUCCUCAAUUUUAGUGCCACCCAACCAAAUCACGGCCAGCCGAGCGCCUCCUCCUUCCUCUGCCAGCUCGAUCUUCCCCAUCCCGCGCCCGAGCUCCUUCUCCUCAUUGAGCCGAGGCUCCCUGCCGCCGGCAGCAGCAGCAGCAACUCUCGCAUCCUCGACUCCCGAGCUCCUCGAUCGUCGCGGGCGCACCCAGCAGAUGAGCGCCGUCCCUGCUCCUUUUCUUUCCUCCUCUGCUCCUCUCUCUCACUUCUCAUCUCUCUCCCCCGUUUCUUUCUCUACAGGAGGAAAGCACCACGCCACGGCCUCCCCAAGCUCUGCUUCACCCUCGCCUUGGGUCCAUGAGGAGAUGACCAUGCCGGCCGCCCUUCCCCAUCUCGAUCGGAUCCAGGACCCCACCGCCUUCAGCCAUGUCUCCGCGGUCAUGGCUCCGUUGGAGGUUCCCUGCCCCGAGCCUCUGCCAUGACCAGCACCCGACCAGCAAGUCGCCAGCGCGCCCGAUGCCUCCUCCUCGCGCAUGCCUGGCCGCACCAACGGACCCCGCAGACAACAGCACCAUAGCCGCCCAUCAAGUUCGCGCCCCUGCCCCGAUCUGGACCGGAUCUCCUCUGCUCCGCCGCCUAGCCGCCGAAUCCGCCCCAUUCCGGUCGGUUCCCGCCGACCCCGGCGCCAGGACCUUCGGUGAUGCCACCUUCUGCGUCACCAUGAACCUGCAGCUGCCUCUAUUCUUUAGUAACGAGAAGGAGCAGCUCGCUCGCCUCGCGUUGACCAUGGCCGGGCCACAUCUCGCGCCGCUCAGCCUAGCGCCAACUUCUGCGGCCUCCUUCGCCUGACGGCCCGCCUCCCCUUCGCUCGUUGACCGCGGCCCAGCUCCCCACCUCCACCGGCUGGGCUUGCCCAUGUUCCGGUUACGUUGCGAUUGUGAGGAUCCGUUCGACUAUGCCCGUUCGUCUUCUUCAUGGAUCCGAUCUUCUUCCUAGUGGGAUUUUAGGCAAGAUGACCGUCACCUUGGAUCUCACUGUCGGUGUCCAAACCGGCGGAUCAUGGCUAGGGGGUCCCAAACUGUGCGUCUCAGGCUAAUGGUAACGGGAGGCGGGGGACACAAUGUUUACCCAGGUCCGGGCCCUCUCGAUGGAGGCAUCUGUAGCGACUGCCGCCUCUCAUACUGCGGAAGUCUCCGGACUAAAUCAAAGUCUGGAGCGGGCCACAGAAGAAUUGGUCCAGUUGAAAAGGGGCGGUGACCGAAGUCGAGGAUCUUAAGAAGGUUGUGGUCGAGGCUGAGAGAAAGGCAGUCGCAGAGCUGGCUCUUCGUGAGAAGCACGAGGCCAGGGUUAUUGAAGCUGAGCAAGAGCUUCAAGAGGUCGUGAAAAGAUGCGAGGCCUUGGAGCAGAGUCUAACGGAGAAAGAAUCCGAACUUACCAAGGCUCAUCAGGCCGCAUGCGAUGCCCAGGGGGAAACCCAAGUUGCCCUGUAGGAGAUCCAAGAGGCGAGGAAGAUCGCGUCGGGUAAGGCUUUUUCCAUGUAAAGCAAGUAUUUGGGGAGAAAAUCAUGUUUCUAAUCUUGAGUUCGGAUUUCUCUAGGGGCAUUUGCGGAGCUGCCAUGCAACAUAUGUGAUGCCACACAAUUCUACCGAGCCGAAGAAAGGAACACUGUGGAUAAGCUCUUCUAGUCGCAGUAUCUGGCACCAAAUUAUCCGGUGCCUUUUGCCGAUCAACUGAAGCAGCUGAUCGAACUGCAUAAGGCGGCCGAGCUAGCCAUGAAGGAUUUGAUUAUCCGGCUAUGGCCCGCUGAGCUGAUUCCAAGCAGCUACUUCAGGCUCGUGAAGCGGCUUGUGAGUGCCUGCCCUGGACUGGACGUCAUGAAGCGGUCGGUCUAUAUAGAGGGUGCGUGAAUGGCCUUCGCCCGCGCAAAGGUGCACUGGGGGAAGAUGGAUGCUGAAAAGCUGGUGACCGAGGGACCGCCGGAGGGAAAGGAGCACCGCAAGCCCGAGUUAUAUUAUGAAAGUGUCUUGAAAGGAUCCCGCCUUGCGGCGGAGCAAUGCACCAAGGACAUUAUAUUUCCAUGAAUACAAUCAUGUUGUCUUUUGUAAUGUUGAACAAGGUCAUUUCUAUUAUUUAUCGCCUGUUAUAUGAAAGUUUAUCCUCC